rnacentral:rRNA from 1 species
UACGUAGGGUGCAAGCGUUGUCCGGAAUUAUUGGGCGUAAAGAGCUCGUAGGCGGUUUGUCGCGUCGGCUGUGAAAACCUGGGGCUCAACCCCGGGCCUGCAGUCGAUACGGGCAAACUAGAAUUCGGUAGGGGAGACUGGAAUUCCUGGUGUAGCGGUGAAAUGCGCAGAUAUCAGGAGGAACACCGGUGGCGAAGGCGGGUCUCUGGGCCGAUAUUGACGCUGAGGAGCGAAAGCGUGGGGAGCGAACAGG